UCUAAAUCUGCUAGUCUAAUAACAGCCUGUGAAGCAAGUUACACCAUUCUGAGCACUUCCCACUGGACUGAUAUAAGAUUUCCAAAGCUGAAACCAAGAAGCAACAAAAAGAGUUCUUCAAAGGCCACAUGAGAAUCAGAGCCUAAAAUUAUUGCUGAUAUAAAAUAUGUUCCUAGCAGAGGAAUGUUCAGAGGUACAUAAAAAUUACUAUGCAACAAGUUAAACAUGCUUUGGAUCCUAAAACUGUAAUGAUUACACUUAUUUGGAUCCUGAAACUGUAAUGAUUACACUUAUUUGGAUCCUGAAACUGUAAUGAUUACACUUACUUGGAUCCUGAAACUGUAAUGAUUAUACUUAAAAAAACUUGGUUCCUGUUUUACAUGCUAAGCAGGCACUUAAAAAGCACUAAGGAUGCAAAGAUUUAUAAGAGGCUUGUCAACUGAUAAAUUAUUUUAAAAAUAUUUUAUGCAAUGAAAAUCUGGUAUGUUGUGUGGUUUUGAUUAGAAUCAGUGGAUUUUAUUUAGUGUUUAGCCUAAAAUGUUGCAAACUUCUAAUCAGCAAUACGCUAUUGAGUGUCAGUAAGCUUCUGGGCCACAGCUUUCCAACCUGUUAAAUGAAGCGUUCAGAU
rnacentral:lncRNA from 1 species